UCCCUCUCCUCAGUCUU
rnacentral:miRNA from 1 species